CGGACCCCGGCGGUCCAGAGCGCGCCCGGAGUGCCGCCGCGCCGCCAGGACGGCGCGUCCGAGCGCGGCACAUUCCUCUCCUUGCAGAGGAUGCAGCAAGCUGGAGUGGAUAAAUUGACCACACAAUGAAGAGAAGCCCUAGGUCAUCCAAAAAAGAAGGCAUAUUGUGAAAGACUCUUGAAUGUUAAUUUCCAGUGAUGCUGGGAAAUAGACACUUUGAUAGAAGCAUACAAUGUUCCUGGGGACAAUUUAGCAAUAUGAAUUAAAAGACUUAAAAAUGUUCAUAUCCUUUGAACCAUCAAUUCCACAGCUAAGAAUUUAUCCUCAAGACAUAAUUAUGGAUGAACACAAAGAUUUAUCCACAAGGAUGUUCACUUCGCCAUUUUUAGAACAGCAAAUAAUUGGAAAUAAACUAAAUGUACAAGAGACUGGUUAAUAAACAUCUUUACCACUAAA